rnacentral:rRNA from 1 species
GAUGAACGCUGGCGGCGUGCCUAAUACAUGCAAGUCGAGCGAACGGACGAGAAGCUUGCUUCUCUGAUGUUAGCGGCGGACGGGUGAGUAACACGUGGAUAACCUACCUAUAAGACUGGGAUAACUUCGGGAAACCGGAGCUAAUACCGGAUAAUAUUUUGAACCGCAUGGUUCAAAAGUGAAAGACGGUCUUGCUGUCUCUUAUAGAUGGAUCCGCGCUGCAUUAGCUAGUUGGUAAGGUAACGGCUUACCAAGGCAACGAUGCAUAGCCGACCUGAGAGGGUGAUCGGCCACACUGGAACGGAGACACGGUCCAGACUCCUACGGGAGGCAGCAGUAGGGAAUCUUCCGCAAUGGGCGAAAGCCUGACGGAGCAACGCCGCGUGAGUGAUGAAGGUCUUCGGAUCGUAAAACUCUGUUAUUAGGGAAGAACAUAUGUGUAAGUAACUGUGCACAUCUUGACGGUACCUAAUCAGAAAGCCACGGCUAACUACGUG